GCCAGGUGUGGUGGUGCAGGCCUGUAGUCCCAGCUACUCAGGAGGCUGAGGCAGGAUGAUCGCUUGAGCCCAGGAGGUCGAGGCUGCAGUGAGCUCUGAUCGCACCUCUGCACUCCAGCCUGGGCAACAGGGUGAGACCCUGUCUCAA
ensembl:misc_RNA Metazoa_SRP Metazoan signal recognition particle RNA